GCGAAUUUCAGCAGCAGAGACUUCUCACGAAGCUUGGGAAAUUCUGCAACAGGAGUAUAUGGGAGAUAAGAAGGUGUUUAGAUCUUUAACAAAAAAAUUUGAGCAUGUGGUUGCUGCUAUUGAAGAAUCCAAGGAUUUAUCUGAUUAUUCAUUUGAUGAAUUAAUGGGUUCUUUAUUAGCUCAUGAAGAUAGG